CAGAGUCUUGAUGAUAAUUGCUAGAUGAGAUGUUUUGCCUGUUUGGUUGUUUAAUUCCUUUACAUCAGAUUCUUUCUGAUGGGCGUUAAUGUGUAGCAUGCAGAUCCUGACAUUUGGUAUCUGUAUUCGUUCGUUCUCACACUGCUUUGAAGAAAUACCUGAGAUUGUGUAAUUUUUCCAAGUGCAGAAUAUGUUGCUUCUAAAAUCAGAAUAGGCUUCCCAGUUUCUGGGUGGAAGGAGGUGUAAGGCACAAUAGCUUGUUCUUUACCAUGGAGGGGAUGGAUGUUCCAUUAUGUCCAGACUACUGUCUUCCUCAAAACUUCACGAAUGCAGCAAGUUCUUGACUAUUUUUAGGGUUAUAUUUCUCCCUGGCAUAUUUCUUGCCAGGGCAUCUAUGGUUCUUGUCACUUUUUGAUUAUCAGGUCUAAUUAACUUAC
rnacentral:lncRNA from 1 species